CAGCUGGUGGGAGAGAACAAACAGGACAGUGAGAUACAGGUGGUCAGGGCCGGUGCCCGCUCCGGCCCCGGGGCUUUCUUUGUCCCCCAUUUGUCACCACACAGCUUUUCCUGCAUGCCACCCCCCCCCCCCACUUCUUGUACACACCACUGGUUCUCACCUCUGCCCUCAGUACCUUUAUUAGGAAGACUGGGCUGGGUCCGCAGCCUGCCGCCGGAAGCUAAAGGCCCUGUUUCCCUUCGUCUCCCCCCACCCUGCCUCCUCCACGCCACUUAGUCCUCUUUGUGCCUGUGCCAGCGUGAUUUUAACAGGCCCUUCUGAGUUUUCAGGGGCUCCAAAGAGCACGUGACGUUUCCUUCCUGCUCCCCGCAUCUUAGAUUUCUUGAAAUCACAAAGCAGGCCCUCGGGCACUACACCCGGAUGUGCGUACGUACACGCAAACAUGCAGUAGGCUUGCGCCCCCACAAGAUUUGCAGGGUCCCUAUCUGCAACUCUCCUCCCAUGCUAAAGUGACUCUCUAACCCCCCAAAUCACUGCUCGGGGCACUUUCACAGGCACCGGUGGGCAGGCCGCACCGGGGUGACGACAGGGUCUCCCAACUGUCACGGACCGAGGCACCACGCUGCGUGCUUUCCUGGUUCGGACCGUACACGAGUGUCCUUUCUGCGGGCGAGUUCGUGCCGGGUUUUUUUGGGCUUUUUGUGAUUUUGCUGUGCACCUGUUUCCUAACCGUCGUGCCGAAUGAAGUGUUCUCGAAAGUCCCGAGCCAGCAAGAGGGCCCCGAGGUGCCACCCGAGCUUCGGUCAGGGAGGAGUUGUACUGCGGUUCAGUGAUAAUCAGUAUAUACCAAAUAACUGUCUUUAAACAGAAACUCCUAAAACAAGGUCACGUGUUCAUCAGCUGGCCGAAAGCAAAGCCCCGGUCUCCCCGCAGAACAGGGGCUCAGUGUUUAAGGAGACUUGACAAGAACAUCAGUACGUGCAUCUAUGUGUAUAUAUACGCAUUUCCGGUUGGAAGUUAACCUUUCCUGGCAAAGCAAUCAGUAAAUGCCUCACGUGUAAGCACGCGCUAGGCCAGCCCAGGUGUCUUGUCCCCACAGAAUCCAAAUUCCACUACCCUCCAGCAGUGCUGCGUCCCCGAGUUGUCUGCCAGAAGGGAAAGCCAGGAGCUAGACUCGGCCAGCCGGGGGCCCGAUACUCACCAGGGCGAUGACGGUGGCACCGGCUCCGGCGCAGGCCACGAUGAACAGGUGAUAGGACACGUAGAACUAGAAAAGAACAGGGCACCGUGUGAGCACCGUAUGUGGAAGGACGGGGCCUCUGCCCGUUCGUUCUCCUCGAUGGGCGGUGGCCAGGCUCCGUGCCAGCGUGCACGGGUCUGGGUCAUAGCCCGGCCGUGCCACCACGCGGGAAGCUUCAGAAACUGCCGCGCGGGCCGUGCCCUCCACUAGUCUAACCUCAGUAGCUGGGCCUCCACCGGGAGUGGAAUUGCCCUCCGGGACUGCCCCGUGGAGCCAUGUUUAAGAACCCCUGCUCGGAGCCAGUAUGGACCUUACAUACUGGCUAACGAUGGAGGCAGGGGCUGAUGCUAGGAGUCUCUUAAAUAUGCAAGCUCCCACUCGUGCAUUUAAGAAUGUUCUUUUAUAGACAGUUAUAAACCGAGGCCUAAAGGAUAUUCUGAGGUCUGCUUUUAAACCAAAGCGGGUUAGAAUUUAUUUACUGCCAGUUAAGGCUGAACGAGAGAUGAACUGUGACUAGAUUGAUAGAAAUUGGGCUUAGAUACACGUUCAAGGGAAUCUUUUCGGUGGAAAUUAAUUUGCAUUUGUUCUGUGAUAAAUGUCCUACUUUGAAAAACCAAGUGAAGGUGAAAGAAGGCUGUGGCAUGUAUUUCCGGAUGUGCAGGAUUCAAAUUCUCACCCAAAGAGAGAGCUCUCGGUCCAUUUCCCACGGUCCAGCCCGCUAGGUGACGAUCCUUACCGUUUUCUAGGUCACAAAUGGCCAAGUGCUGGUGAUUACAUACAAGGCCGUCUACAAAAAGCUCCCCUUCCUAGCAUUUGCACUGGCUUUUGCUUUUUCUACAGUCAAGAGCCCUUUCCUCAGCCUGCUUUGCCAGGUGACUGCUCUAGGCCCCCUGCCGGAGAAGGGUUUACCUCAUUGGUGUUGCAGAUGUUCUCCAGGGCAGAGCCACAGAUUUUUCCUGGGAAAGCAUUCCAAGGGAUGAUACCUGUGAAGUGAAUCCCAACACAACGUUCGUCAUUAUCAGCACACACGGCAGCGCCCCGGGCUCUCGAUGGUCCUCGCCACUUGGGUUCCAGUUAGAAGUACAGAUAAAGGUUCGUCGUCUUUAGAAGACCGGAUCUGAAGAGUGGGCCACAGCAAUUAAUUGGACUGCAGUGUCUAUGCAAUAUUUUGGAUGGAAAGGGGAACGGUACAAAACGGGAAACAACUUGAAAAACAAGUCUGUAGCCUUUUGAGAUCCAGGAGUGUUUUCUGAUCAUAACACACAGCUCCUUUAUAAAGCAGUUGGAAAAGGUUCUGUCGCCACAUAACCAAAAUUUGAACUACAACUAAGAGCCUAAGUGAGGUUUCCCUCCAGAAAACCGAGCACAGGUUAUGCGAGGAGAAGAGUAAAUGAAACCAGUCACGAUGAUUAAGAAGACGGCCCUAUAACAAUUAAGGUCCAGGCCUACGCACAAGAGGAGAAAGGGUCGUCUUGGGCGUUAUAAGGAAGUACCGUAUUGCCGGAUAUCCACGCAGAUCUGCUCCACGCCGGCCGUGCCGUUGGUCUGGGGUGACCUGAUGACUUCGCAAGUUGACCAUAUGUUGUAGAACAUAAACACGGGCACCGCGGAGAAACCAAACACGCCGAGCCAGGCCACUCCCAGCACGUAGGUGAGGAAAACGAACUGGACCGAGGAAAAGGAGAAAGAAUCAUCAGUGACCCGGGCAGCGUGCAGGCCCUGGGAGGAAUGCUCACGUAGUUGGGGCCGGAUACCGGACCUGUGGGAUGCAUUCCUGGCACCGCCUGGGCCCCCGGAACGACAAGGCAUAGUGAGGGGUGGGGGGAGGAGGGCCGGGGCAGGGUGGGCACGCUCUCCAGAGCUACAGGACAGAGAAUGUUACUGCCCAAAGCCACCACCACUGCGACUGUUCAGGGCCCUCGCUUCCUUAACGAGGACAUGAGACGUCAGGAGGUGAUCUCCCUUGUCCGAGAUUCCAGAGCCAAUCCGAGCACCGGGUACGAGGCCAUCCCUAAGUAUCGGUUCCACACUUACCAUGGGAGAGCGGUGGAGGCUUGGGCAGGCCACUGAAUUCUAAGCUAUCAGUUUCUCAAAAACUGCCUUUAUUUCACACAACAUAUGGGCAGUCACUCACCAGUGCUACAGCUACAGGAAGCCCUUUCUCAAAAGGAAACGUGCUAGGUUCAAGAUCCUGCGAAUUCACUAAAAGCGUGAAGUGUUUGAACCUUUAAAAUAGCCUUGAGCACAAACUUCACGCACAGAAGAUAAAAUUCUCAUUUCCCUCUACUUUCCUUCCUAACCUGCCUUGACUACCAGUUUUCAGAGAACUUUGAAAGGCUGUUCCAAAAACGUCAUGUCCCGGUAUUCAUAUUUUCAGAAUGCGCACCCACGGAGCUCGUGGGCAACGGUUUAGAAUUCUAAUUUGGCUUUUAUUUUUUUAAGCCGAUGCUGAAGACCCUAAGCUUCCCUCGACUUUGCAUACUGCAGGAACAGAGGUGGCUGAGCCCCGAUCAGCCUGGGGGGCCAGCUCCUGCUGGUCCCAAGCCCCUGAAACUGCAGAAAUAAGUCACUCUUGUUCAAGGGCGUUUCUACCGUCAGGAACAUUUGCAUUUCUAAAGAGAUCCAAAGAAGCUGAUUUCAGCAGUUUCAGUGCUCCCGGAUGGGCUACUCCCGACUAGGCUUCCUUUUCUUACCCUUCCCAAGAAUACUUUCUUUCUAGUAACACCACAGAGACUUGUAAAAGGGCUGGGGGUUCCCGGCUCGGUUAACCUUUCAGCUGUGGUCUGGACUCCAAAAGGUAGGCCCGGGCCCGGGGUCCAGCGCCCCCUCGCGGCCCGUUCCCGUCAUGGCGGCCUGAAGCCGGCCGAGUCGCUUUCUCAGUGCCCCAGGCCUUCUAGGGAACCGAGGGCAGCUUUGCAGGCCCUGGCUUCCAGGUGGGUGGAGCACAUUGAGCUUCUGCACCUCACCCGCCAUGUUGGCUCCAGCUGUCAUCAGGCCUCCCCGUCACCGCCGACUUCUUGACAUGCCCCAAGGCAGGGCCGUUCCAUGAUCUGCUUGAAUGUACAGUCAGACCCCCGCGGUCCUGUGGUUACGCUCCCGACCACCACCAUCCAGCAAACAUCACAAUCAAGCGAGUCAAAUUAAUUUUCUGCCUCCCCAGCGCAUAUAAAAGUCACACUGUAGGCUGCGGAGUGUGCAACAGCAUGAUGCCUGGAAAAGGUAUAUACCUCAAUAAACUUCCACUUGAGUGCUAA